rnacentral:lncRNA from 10 species
UGCAGACUCCAGAUGGCUCCAUCUCAACAGUGGUUUUCAAUGCUGAGCAAUGAGAAAUGUGAUUGCUGAAGGCCUGCCAGAGGGGAAUACAUUGUUCGGGAAGGAUGCUCAGGGAUAUCCCUGACUUUUCCCCACAGGGCAGCUCACAGUCCCCUUCCUAAUAGGCAGCGUAGCCAACUCCCUCUCUGGGCCCAGCCCUCUCAUCUGGACAUUGAGUGGGCGACAGAAAGUGAUCCAAAGUCCUUUCUGUGUCUGACUGUUUGUGAGAUUUUAGUAGUUAGAGAAAACUAGGACUGAUCCAGUCACUGCAUAAAGUCCCCAGCAUUUUAAUGUGUUCUGAGCCUUCUAAGGUGGACACGAACUUCACUCAUCCCGCUGCGUAAUCUCGGUCAUGUCCAUGCAGUGUCUCCCCCACCGCAUAACACACAGAGACCACACACACAUACACCACACCCCUCACAAUCCCACACCACACACACAUAAUCACACACCCCCACACACACACCACACCCCUCACAACCCCACACCACACACACAAACAUCACACACACACUAUACCCCACACCCCUCACAACCCCACACCACACACACAUAAUCACACACCCCCACACACACACCACACACACCACACCCCUCACAACCCCACACCACACACACAAACAUCACACACACCCCCCACACACCACACACAAACACCACACACACCACACACCACACCCCUCACAACCCCACACCACACACAUACAUCACAAACACACCCCCAAACACCACACACACCACACCCUUCACAACCCCACGCCACACACACAUAAUCACACACACACUACACACCAACACCACACACACACCACACCCCUCACAACCCCACACCACACACACAUAAUCACACACCCCCCCACACACCACACACCAACACCACACACACACCACACACCACACCCUUCACAACCCCGCACCUCACACACAUACAUCACACACACACCCCCACACACCACACCCCUUACAACCCCACACCACACACACAUACGUCACACACCCCCCACAUACAGAAACACCACACACACCACACACCAUGCACACCACACCCCUCACAACCCCACACCACACACAUACAUCACACACACCCCCACAUCCCACACACAGCACACACAGAAACACUACACACACCACACAUCACGCAUACACACACCACACAGAUACAUCACACACACACCACACACAGAUACACCACACACAUCUCACACACACACACCACACACCCCAUACCACACAUACAUACAUCUCUCUUAUAUACACACACACAUCCUACACACACCCCACACACACCUCACACAGAUACCACCACAUGCACACUCACCACAUACACAUAUAACAUACACACACCCCCCCACACAGAUACCACACACACACACACAGAAAGCACACAGAUACCACACACACCCCCACAGAAAGCACACAGAUACCACACACACCCCCACAGAAAGCACACAGA